rnacentral:rRNA from 1 species
CGUAAAGACGCAUGCAGGCGGCCUGUUAAGUCAGAUGUGAAAGCCGGGCGUUAACCUCGGAAUUGCAUUUGAAACUAGGCAGGCUAGAGUCUUGUUAGAGGGGGGUAGGAAGUUUACAGGUUACGGUUAGCGGUGAAAUAGCGUAGAGAUCUGAAGGAAUACCAGUGGCGAAGGCGGCCCCCUCGGACAAAGACUGACGCUCAGAUGCGAAAGCGUGGGGAGCAAACAGGAUUAGAUACCCUGGUAG